UAGACCUGAAAUCAGU
rnacentral:rRNA from 3 species